rnacentral:rRNA from 1 species
ACAAUUCACGAAAGUGAGAUGGGGUUACCUCGAGUGCCGCCUGAAGAAGGUGGCUUUUCCAUUGUGUAAUAAGCCGUGGGAAUAAGGGGGGGGCAAGACUGGUGUCAGCCGCCGCGGUAACACCAGCCCCCCGAGUGGUGGGGAUGAUUAUUUGGCCUAAAGCGUCCGUAGCCGGCCCUGUAAAUCUCUCGUUAAAUCCAACGUCCUAAGCGUUGGACUGCGAGGGAGACUGCAGAGCUAGAGGGUGGGAGAGGUCAGCGGUAUUCCUGGGGUAGGGGCGAAAUCCAUUGAUCCCAGGAGGACCACCAGUGGCGAAGGCUGCUGACUAGAACACGCCUGACGGUGAGGGACGAAAGCUGGGGUAGCGAAUCGGAUUAGAUACCCGAGUAGUCCCAGCCGUAAACGAUGCAGGCUAGGUGUUGGGUUGGCCAUGUGCCAGCUCAGUGCCACAGGGAAGCCAUUAAGCCCGCCGCCUGGGGAGUACGGCCGCAAGGCUGAAACUUAA